UCCCAGUUAAGUCAAAUUAGAAAAAAUAAUUUCUUGUACCCAGUGUCCUUUGGGCGUUCUAUCAGACAUGCGCAGAUCUGCCCUGCCCACUUUCGCGCUCUUUCCAACACCUUUCUCAGUUAUUUUCGCCAUUGUGGGUUUACUUGUCCUCAGCACACUGAUUUGGCACUGCUGCAAUCGUCACACUUUUUCUGUUACAAACUGACCCGGCCCCUCAUCAGAGAAGGGAAAAGUCAUGUGGCCUUCACAGGAAAAGGAAUACAGAUAGAAAGAGUGCAGAGAUCACACUCGACGCUAUAACUACCUGGUGUGUUUAAGGCUGAAGCAAAUGGUCAAAAGUCCACACAUACCUCAGUCUCAGCAAUUACAGGUCAACCAAAGCAGUAUUCUCUAAUGCAGUGGACUUGCAAGUACUGCACAUUUUCUGCUGAAAAGAGCCUACUUGCUUAAGCAUUACCGCUUAAAACAUGGAUACCACACUCGGACAUCCCUACUCCUAUGUCUUCAUAAGGACUGCCUCUGCACAUUUAAAUCUUUUAAUGCACUCAAAGUACACCUAUCGACAUGGCACUCUCAAAAAGAUGCAGGCAAAAGUGGAGAAACUGCAUUCGACCGUCAGUUGUGCAACUUUGUGGAGCCCUGCUCAGAAGCAGACUUCUUUACCCAUUUGCAAGGACAUCUUAAGCUGA